CCUACGGGGGGCUGCAGUGGGGAAUAUUGGACAAUGGGCGAAAGCCUGAUCCAGCCAAGCCGCGUGUGUGAAGAAGGCCUUCGGGUUGUAAAGCACUUUCAGUGGGGAAGAAAGCCUUGGGGCUAAUACCCUCGAGGAAGGACAUCACCCACAGAAGAAGCACCGGCUAACUCCGUGCCAGCAGCCGCGGUAAUACGGAGGGUGCGAGCGUUAAUCGGAAUUACUGGGCGUAAAGCGCGCGUAGGCGGUCUGAUAAGCCGGUUGUGAAAGCCCCGGGCUCAACCUGGGAACGGCAUCCGGAACUGUCAGGCUAGAGUGCAGGAGAGGAAGGUAGAAUUCCCGGUGUAGCGGUGAAAUGCGUAGAGAUCGGGAGGAAUACCAGUGGCGAAGGCGGCCUUCUGGACUGACACUGACGCUGAGGUGCGAAAGCGUGGGUAGCAAACAGGAUUAGAUACCCUAGUAGUC
rnacentral:rRNA from 1 species